AGUGAACGCUGGCGGCAGGCCUAACACAUGCAAGUCGAACGGCAGCACGGCAGUAGCAAUACUGUGGGUGGCGAGUGGCGGACGGGUGAGGAAUACAUCGGGAUCUACCCUGUUGUGGGGGAUAACGUAGGGAAACUUACGCUAAUACCGCAUAAGAACUGAGGUUGAAAGCGGCGGACCGCAAGGCGUCGCGCGAUUGGAUGAACCGAUGUCCGAUUAGCUAGUUGGCGGGGUAAAGGCCCACCAAGGCGACGAUCGGUAGCUGGUCUGAGAGGACGACCAGCCACACUGGAACUGAGACACGGUCCAGACUCCUACGGGAGGCAGCAGUGGGGAAUAUUGGACAAUGGGCGCAAGCCUGAUCCAGCCAUGCCGCGUGGGUGAAGAAGGCCUUCGGGUUGUAAAG
rnacentral:rRNA from 1 species